UUUGUUCCCCCUUCACUUUGCAGGUUGUUAGUAUUUUCAGCUAAGGAAAUUGAGUUUUUUGGUUUUCCUGUGCUUUGGAUCAGAAGGUCAAGGUGACAACUUCCUGAAAAUUUGACCUUUAAAAAAUUUUCUAUUUGUUUACUUCCACUGUUAAGUUUAAUGCUAUUGGACAUGCAUUUGGUGGCUUCAGAGAAAAUUAGAAAGUUGAGUUUAAAUAAAGGUUGGAAAUUAUUAAUUUUUUUUUUUUUUUAAUGAUAGGAACUACCUUUAACAAGUCACUUAAUUUUAAUGGAUUAGGAAUACUUUUUAGAGAGUUAAGUGGAAAAACAGUUAACAUUUUCAAAGGAAUAGGGAGUGUCCCUCUUAAACAGGAAGAAUUGGUUUCAUUUCAAAGAAGUUAUAUAACUCCUGAAUACUGUCAAGGCCCUGUGUUAAAUAGGAAAGAGUGAGUUCCACAGGAUGAACAGUCAUGAAUGGCACUCCAGAAUUCUUACCUGUCCCAACAAUUUUCUGAUUGGCUGAACUCUGCUACCUACUUAUUAAAGAGUAUUUUUGUUUUGGCAGCUCAAGUCUACACCAAAACCAAUUUCUUCUUUAAAAUGAAUGCACAUGUGCUGAGUGAAAUGAGCAGGACCAGGAGAUCAUUAUAUA